rnacentral:rRNA from 1 species
AUUUGUAAUGCCUACAAUGUUAAUGCACUGGGUCCCAUUAGAAAUCUGCAGUUAAACAUGCUUGGGCUAGAGUAGUACUGGGAUGGGUGACCUCCUAGGAAGUAUUAUUGUUUUAAAUG